GUUUGUAACACCCAAAGCCGGUGGGGUAACCUUUUAGGAGCUAGCCGUCUAAGGUGGGACAGAUGAUUAGGGUGAAGUCGUAACAAGGUAGCCGUAGGAAGAACCUGCGGCUGGAUCACCUCCUUUCUAAGGAAUAAUACGGAAACUACACCAUGUCAAAGUUUUGUUUAGUUUUGAGAGGUCUACUCUCAAUUUGUUCUUUGAAAACUGAAUAAUAUCUAAAUUUUCUAAUAUUAAUUAUUGUAAAUANUUAAACCGAGAAAACCACCGCGUAAUUUAAAGAGUUAUAUUAACAAGAUUAGUUCAAUUAAUCGCUAGAAUUAAACUCAUAAACCACUUUGCCGUCGGCAAAGUAUAGGUUAAGUUAGGAAGGGCCCGAUGGUGAAUGCCUUGGUACUAGGAGCCGAUGAAGGACGGGACUAACACCGAUAUGCCUCGGGGGAGCUGUACGUAAGCUUUGAUCCGGGGAUUUCCGAAUGGGGCAACCCAGCAAGCUUUACCGCUUGUAUCCAUCAUCUGAAUACCAUAGGAUGUGUAAGGUAG
rnacentral:misc_RNA from 1 species